rnacentral:rRNA from 1 species
UUAAAUUGAAGAGUUUGAUCAUGGCUCAGAUUGAACGCUGGCGGCAGGCCUAACACAUGCAAGUCGAACGGUAACAGGGAUCAGCUUGCUGAUUCGCU